rnacentral:rRNA from 1 species
UGGUGCCUACGGGGGGCAGCAGUGGGGAAUAUUGCACAAUGGGGGAAACCCUGAUGCGGCGACGCCGCGUGAAGGACGAAGUAUUUCGGUACGUAAACUUCUAUCAGCAGGGAAGAAAAUGACGGUACCUGACCAAGAAGCCCCGGCUAACUACGUGCCAGCAGCCGCGGUAAUACGUAGGGGGCAAGCGUUAUCCGGAUUUACUGGGUGUAAAGGGAGCGUAGACGGCAGCGCAAGUCUGAAGUGAAAUCCCAUGGCUUAACCAUGGAACAGCUUUGGAAACUGUGCAGCUGGAGUGCAGGAGG